rnacentral:rRNA from 1 species
CCUGGCUCAGGAUGAACGCUGGCGGCGUGCUUAACACAUGCAAGUCGAACGGAGUCAUCAUUUUUGAAGCAAUUAGCUUGCUAAGAGUGGAAAUGUUGAUGACUUAGUGGCGGACGGGUGAGUAACGCGUGGGUAACCUGCCAUAUACAGGGGGAUAACACUUAGAAAUAGGUGCUAAUACCGCAUAAGCGCACAGUAUUGCAUGAGACAGUGUGAAAAACUACGGUGGUAUAUGAUGGACCCGCGUCUGAUUAGCUGGUUGGUGAGGUAACGGCCCACCAAGGCGACGAUCAGUAGCCGGCCUGGGAGGGUGGACGGCCACAUUGGGACUGAGACACGGCCCAAACUCCUACGGGAGGCAGCAGUGGGGAAUAUUGGACAAUGGGGGAAACCCUGAUCCAGCGACGCCGCGUGAGUGAAGAAGUAUUUCGGUAUGUAAAGCUCUAUCAGCAGGGAAGAAAAAAAUGACGGUACCUGACUAAGAAGCCCCGGCUAACUACGUG